AGUGCCAAUACGGUUUUGAUCGCCUAAGUAGAAGGUCGAAUAUCCCGAGAAGUUUGUCGUGGUGUACAGAAUACACCAACGCGACUCAUUAUGCACCGAAUAAAGAUAAAAAAUCCGAAAAGCUUAACCCAAAAUGAAUUGAAAGCUGUGGCCCAGGUUAUAUGUGAUACGGAUUCCGAAGAAGAAAUUGGCGGGUAAGGUGACAUAUCUGAUGAAAAUGAAGAUAUAGAGGAAGAUAAACACAAUUCAAACUCCGAACAAGAAAUAAGCGAGCAAGAAGAACAAGAUGAAGUGGAAGGUGAUCAAAGUUCAGGCUCUGAAGAUGUUCCUCUCUCCGUGUUAGUGGCAAAUAGAGAAGGUCAGUAUGUUGGCAAGGAUAAAACAACUAUUUGGUAUAAAAGUUAUGUAACCCUAUGUGUAAAUCUACUAAAUCCAAAAGCAAAAAUAUAAUAAAAAUACUACCAGGGCCAAAGCAAUGCGCCCGUGACAUAACUGAUGAGAUGAGUGCUUUCUCAAAAAUUGUUGAUGAUGAAAUGAUUGAACAUAUCAUUCAGUAUACUAAUUUGGAAAUUUCAAAAGUUCGGGCAAAUUUUAAUCGAGAAAGAGACGCAAAGGACGUUACAAAAACGGAAAGAUUUCUUUUUUUGCUUGCAAAUAUUAGAUUUGAUGACAAAGGAACAAGGAACGAAAGAAAAAAACCGAUAAGCUGGCCCCGGUGCGAUUUAUUUUGGACAAAUUUGUUUAUAAUUCAGGAAAAAACUACGCUCUUGGUGAAUUUAUGACCAUAGAUAAAAUGUUGAUUGCAUUUAGAGGGAGGUGCAGCUUUGUCCAGUACAUACCCAACAAACCUGCCAAAUAUGGGUUGAAGGUGUUUGCGCUUUGUGAUGCUAAAACAUUUUAUGUCAGUAAAUUAGAGCUCUACUGUGGAAAACAACCAGACGGUCAAUACAAUCAAUUAAACUCGCCAACUGCCAUAGUUCAUCGAUUGUUGGAAGAACAGAAAGGAAGUAACCGGAAUUUAACUUGCGACAAUUGGUAUUCAAGUUACCCUUUGGCACUGGAGCUGUUACAAGAUAAAAUAACAUUUAUCGGGACU